rnacentral:rRNA from 1 species
GAUGAACGCUAGCGAUAGGCUUAACACAUGCAAGUCGAGGGGCAGCAUGGUCUUAGCUUGCUAAGACUGAUGGCGACCGGCGCACGGGUGCGUAACGCGUAUGCAACUUGCCUCACAGAGGGGGAUAACCCGUCGAAAGACGGACUAAUACCGCGUACACUCCAUCUUGGGCAUCCAAGGUAGAGGAAAUGAAAUUCGCUGUGAGAUAGGCAUGCGUCCCAUUAGCUAGUUGGUGAGGUAACGGCUCACCAAGGCGACGAUGGGUAGGGGAACUGAGAGGUUGAACCCCCACACUGGUACUGAGACACGGACCAGACUCCUACGGGAGGCAGCAGUGAGGAAUAUUGGUCAAUGGGCGAGAGCCUGAACCAGCCAAGUCGCGUGAAGGAUGACUGUCUUAUGGAUUGUAAACUUCUUUUAUACGGGAAUAACAAGAGUCACGUGUGACUCCCUGCAUGUACCGUAUGAAUAAGCAUCGGCUAACCCCGUG